GGGGGGGGGGGAUAUAAAGCAUGUUUGCUUAGAGAUAUCAACGGCCAGGGAAGGCGUAGAGGCAGACAGCUGAAUUAUUCACAACCCAGCACAUAGUGAUCCCCAAAUGCGUAGUUUGGGUAAACAUGAAUAUGUGGGGAACACAAACGCACAUGGACAUUCAAAAGGCUUGAACGGAUGAGGACAUCACAAGGUAUGUCACCAACUGUUAGCAGAUGAGUCAUUUUCAGGAACAAAAUUCUUCCAAUUGUCUCUCCCAACUCCUUGAGGAUUGCGUUGGUCCAACAACUGAGAGGCUGUCAACAUGGAAACUGGUUUGCGGAAAAAAAAGAAGAAAAGAGGUCACGAAAACGACAAACAUUUCCAUCGUGUUCAGUCUCACUUCCAUUAGUGUGACAAUUUCAUUAAACAAACAUAAUGUACAAAAUCAUUUCCUCGACUUGGCUGGCUCCGAGAAAUUAACGGCAACAUGGAAGUCAUGCAUAAUGAAUGUGAACAUUUGCCAUCUACAAGUCUCCCACAGUCAAACAUUAAUUCAACCUCGCGCAGGCUGUGGAAAGGGAGAGGGAGGACAAAUGGAGCGAGGGGAAGAGGAAGGACUUUGGAGAGUGAAAGUGAAACCUUCGGAGCUGGUCUGACGGAGAGACACACUGCUGCCUGCAAGUGUGGAAUGAUUGCAUUGGAGUCUGGGUAACGACAUGAAAGAUAAGAGGCCAUAACGUUGCUUUCAAAUCUCACGUGAAAACUAUUUAGUUUAUGUUAACUAGAAUGAAUAAAGGCUAUGCAGUAACUUUUCCCAUUUUAGAAGACAGGAGAGAAAACAGUGUGCUUAUCAGAGCCAUUAGACUGUGUAAUGCUCAGUCCAAAGUGCUUGAGCGAGACAAACAAAGCCGUUCAUAUAGCAUAAAAGACGACAAAUAUCGACUAAUUAAAUCAAAUUGGACAGGGAGUUAAAGUACACGUCAAGUUGAAUGAAGUCAGCUUGAUGCUCUUUUCCCGUUGAUCCAAAACAGAAGUGUCUGACAUGGCUCUCAUAACCGUGUCAGAAGCACUUUGCAUCAUCUAAUACCAUUUGCAUAAAUCUUACAAUUAUUUUUAUAGACACUACGUAAUAAAAUGCUAAUCGUAACAUUUUAGAGAGAGAAGCUAAAAAUAAAUAAAGAAAGAAAAAUGCUCAUCCUUCAGGAGGAGUGAUUUAUUACCUAGUACAGCCGGGUCAUACAUUAAUUUUGCUCUUUAUAUAAAAGGCCUGUUAUUUCUGCAUGCAUAAAUAAAACACUCUGGCAGACAUGCACACAUAAACACCCGCCGUGCACGUUUUGCCCGCUUGUGUCAGGAGAAAAUGUCACAGUGUCGAGAGGAUGUUUAUCUAGCGGGGACAGAUUUGAUAGCUCGACGGGCCGGCGGAUGCUCGGUUGCCUUUUUUCUGGGACGGAAGUGUGUGUGUCUCUGUGUGUGAGUGUUCGCAUUGGCCAAUUGUUAGGGUGUGUUGUCUUUGACCGACGCGAGGCUACGGGAGAUGCCGGCGGACUCCCGUGAUGCUCAACUAGACGCACAUCAGAUCUGACACUGCCAAGCCAGUGGUGUGACAGGCAUGUGACAGGGCAGGGCUGGUUCUAAAUGACUUCUUAGGCUCCAUUACCCCGGCAAAACGCUGGACACGCCAUCUCCCAUUUCCCAUUUCCCCUUCAUGGUCACAGAGCCUUCUACUAUUCUCAAAUGGAGCGCUGAUUGCACCCUACCUUUCGCUCAGUAUGGAUUAAUCCCACAUAGAUGCAAGCUUGCACGCACACAGAUAAGACAACCACCCCUCACUGCAACCCAAAGAGGGGAGCUGAGUGCCAGGAGCAGCAGGGGUGAUUAUCCCGAAGAAAGCAUCAGCUGUUGGUGUUUACGCUGCCACUCUACCUUUGAUGUUUUGACACCGGCGGCCUCUAGAAAGCGAAAGCAUUUUUCGGGAAACUGUUUUGAGAGGCAGCGUGUUGAAGGUGACCGAAGAUGAGCGUGUCAUUAGCCGAGAGAUGAAUUAGUAUUGGGGGAGUACAGAGGGCAAAGGAGAGACAGGCUGCGGCUCUGGGACAGGACAAGGAAAAACAAUGUGGAACUGACAAAGGAGUUUAAACUCGAGCAACACUCUGCUAAAAAAAAAGGUAUUAUUUGAAGCAUCAAGGGCAGCGGCUCAUGACAAUAAAAGUACCAGCGAAGCGGCUUUGUGCAUUUUAUCUCACGUCACGACGUGGAAAAAUAUCACAGCGCGCACAGAUGUCGGAAUUGCGUAAGGUGCUUACCAAGGUUUCCGAUCUCGGGUGCCGCUGCAUUCUUCCCACAUCCUGUAUCACGAGACGGUUUUGAUGUCUCGCGAACUUUCCGUGUCGAACGUUGGCAUCAGCCUCCCCUAAUGAGGAUGCUGGUGUGUACGUUGAAUCUGAUGCCUGUCUAGUGCCUGUCAUUGUUUAGCCAGUCUAGCUAAGUCGAGUGUGGUGACAUUUCCUCGCCGGCUAGUCCGCACACGGGUAAUUGCAGUCUUAUAUAAAAAAGCCACAUCGCAUUCAAAGUGGAGGGGGGGAUAAGUAAACAAGGAUAUGAAUUCCGCCAUCAGAUGCAAAAAAAAAAAAAACCCUGCAUGAAUCAUUCAUGGGACAAAAUAUUUGCAGACAUAUGUUGAGGGUAGAUAGGAUCUUCUAGAUCAGCGAGACUGUUGACGGAACAGGCCUCUUUCUCUCGAUUAGCGGAUAACGUGUGACAACCAGCAGGCACAGACUAUGGGAGAGGGAUUGAUAGGAGAGGUGAAAGCGGAGAUGGAACACAGGCAGACAGACAGAGCGAAAGAAAGCGGUGGCAAAAAAUGUGGUUAAAGGAUUUCUUUUGGGGGGGGGAGGGGGGGGGAUUCCCGGGCUGUUGUACCAAAGCUCCUGGCGCUUUGUUUUGAAUGAACUCCGUCUGGUUUGAAUUCAAAUGAGAUUUCACUGUAUCCUGCGCUUAACACCGCAUGGGUCUCAAUAAACACUAAAGCUCUUCUCAUUUCAUGCUUCCCAAUGUGAAGCGGCAGGCAGCAACACCGCGGUGAGCAAUCACAAAUUCAAAUGAAAGGGGAGAAGGCGGGAAGGGGGGGAUGUCUCCUUCCCAGCCUUGUUUAAUUUGCCGCCUUCUGGGCAAACGCGCCUCUGCUGCGCUGUUUUCUGGAGGUGUGUAAGGUUCAGAGAAGAUGCCUUACAUGUAUCCAGGGCUGGGGAGAAUCAGAGCCAAAAAAGACAAAUUGAAUAUACUUGAUAUGUUUGUACCCGGAGCGACGUUCUGAAGUUGAAACACACGCCCACUCGUGCAGACCCCGCACACCCCGCGAAAGAGUUAAGGCCCGGAGCUCCUCAGCCGUGCAGCCGUCUCAGGGGGAGACGUCCUGAUAACACACACUAACUCCUGGCUCGGGGGUCCCAGCGGACAGACGAACAAAGGGCAAGGUUUUUAUCUGCUUUUAUCUCAUUAAACACUCCAUAACUCGCUUAAUUGUUUACGGAAGGAUUUAGAAGAAUAUCCCACCCAAGGUUUGUGACUUUUGUGUGCGCAUGUGUCUGUGUUCACUCCAAUCCACGCAUGUUGGGCCGUAUUCAUUUGUGAUUCAUUGUUGCAGAGAGUGAAGGUUGGUUUUAAUUAGGAACUGUAUGAGGGUGCAGCUCAUUACGAUAUGGCCAGAGAUAAUGAGACAAAGGGCUGCAUUUUAAGUCUUCGGCGCUCUGUCCAUCACUCCGUAUUUGUGUCCUCCCGCCGGAUGGUAAACAAGGUGGUAAAGGGGGAGGGGGAGAAGGUUGGGAUCACACCUCUGGCUUAGGCACAGGCCUCGAAAAUGUUUCAUAAUUCAACGACGAUCUUUGCCAUUUUUUUGCAGCCAAUUCAUAAUAACCCUCUCCCUGGUUUCCUCUCCUUCCUGCUUUUUUCUGUUAGAAAUUUUGCCAACAGCACCCUCCUCCGCCUUCCCCGACCCCGUGCUUUUCAAUCUGUCCAUCGUAGCACUUGAGCUUUGAUCUUCUCACCCAGGCCUGCUCAACCAGCCCUCCAGCAUCUCUCGGUCCCUCCUUCUAAGUCCACUCAUCUAUAAUACCUCCCAUAUCCAUCACUCUACCCGCCUCCCCCCACCACCCCUCCACCAUCCCUUUUCGUUCCACUCCUCUCCUAUACACUUUAACCACGCAUGCGGAAUGGCUAUUGCUCCCAUGGUACUUAUUAGAGCAAGGCUUUUAAUUACAGUUUGCACAUCGAUCAAUUGUUGCAUUACUAGUCGGUCCCUGUCGUCCGGUUAGUGCGGUGAUGGAUCACCAGUUAGAGGGAGCCUCCGUGGUCAUCUGUGACACUCGGAUGCAGAUUGUUCACAUCUGCAGUCGAGCCGGCCCAUCCGUGAUGUUGACAUUAUAUGAGAUUAUAUAAGAUGACAAGUAGAAAAAGAAAAACUUUUCAAGAAGAGUGAAAAGAGAAAGGAAAAGAGAAGGGAGGGGGAGUGGGAGCGAGAACCCACAUUUGCUAAAAAACCAAGCUGCCCACCACGACAACAAUCUCUGCCGCUGUAUUUGGAUAUUUCACUUCAUCUCAAACGCACUGAUUUUGCAUUAAUGAAAACUAAUCUGAAGGUCUUUGAAGUUUCCUUCUGUCCUCUGAGAACAGAGUAGAAGCUUACACACACACACACACACACACACACACACACACACACACACACACACACACACACACAUGUAUGUAUACACAUAUUAGCAUGCAGAAUAAGUGCUCCUGCACCUGUAUCUCCCUGCCCCUACUAAUCCUGCUAUGGUCUGACCCCCCACGAGAUUAGUGUCCCCUGCUUGAUGCAAUGCAUUCAAAAAUAUCAACACUCACUU
ensembl:lncRNA